rnacentral:rRNA from 1 species
GCAAAUCCGGGUGGCAAUGGGAAGCCGUGAUGCGGAGCGAAAUAAAGUAGCGAAGUCCGUGAGCCAUGCGUCAAGAAAAGCCGCUAUCGUUUAUACCGUACCCGUACCGUAAACCGACACAGGUGGAUGAGGAGAGAAUCCUAAGGCCGGCGGAAGAAGCAUUGUCAAGGAACUCGGCAAAAUGGCCCCGUAACUUAGGGAUAAGGGGUGCCUGGGAAACCAGGCCGCAGAGAAUAGGCUCAAGCAACUGUUUAGCAAAAACACAGGUCUAUGCGAAACCGAAAGGUGAGGUAUAUGGGCUGACGCCUGCCCGGUGCUGGAAGGUUAAGAGGAGAGGUUAGCGCAAGCGAAGCUUUGAAUUUAAGCCCCAGUAAACGGCGGCCGUAACAAUAACGGUCCUAAGGUAGCGAAAUUCCUUGUCGGGUAAGUUCCGACCCGCACGAAAGGCGUAAUGAUUUGAGCGCUGUCUCGACAAUGCAUCCGGUGAAAUUGAAGUACCAGUGAAGAUGCUGGUUACCUGCGCCAGGACGGAAAGACCCCAUGGAGCUUUACUCCAGUUUGGUACUGGGACUCGGUAUUGCAUGUACAGGAUAGGUGGGAGGCUAGGAGAUAGUAACGCCAGUUAUUAUGGAGCCGCUGUUGGGAUACCACCUUUGCAGUAUUGGGUUUCUAACCAGCCGCCGUGACCCGGCGGUGGGACAAUGCCAGACGGGGAGUUUGACUGGGGCGGUCGCCUCCGAAAGGGUAUCGGAGGCGCCCAAAGGUUCCCUCAGAAUGGACGGAAACCAUUCGAAGAGUGCAAAGGCAGAAGGGAGCUUGACUGCGACACCGACGGGUGGAGCAGGUACGAAAGUAGGGCUUAGUGAUCCGGUGGUAUUAAGUGGGAAUGCCAUCGCUCAACGGAUAAAAGCUACCCUGGGAUAACAGGCUUAUCACUCCCAAGAGUUCACAUCGACGGAGUGGUUUGGCACCUCGAUGUCGGCUCAUCGCAUCCUGGGGCUGUAGUAGGUCCCAAGGGUUGGGCUGUUCGCCCAUUAAAGCGGUACGCGAGCUGGGUUCAGAACGUCGUGAGACAGUUCGGUCCCUAUCCGGCGUGGGCGUAGGAUAUCUGAGAGGAGCUGUCCUUAGUACGAGAGGACCGGGAUGGACGGGCCGCUGGUGCAUCGGUUAGACUGCCAAGUCUACGGCCGAGUAGCCAAGCCCGGAAGGGAUAAACGCUGAAGGCAUCUAAGCGUGAAGCCCCCCUUAAGAUGAGAUAUCCCAUUCGAAAGAAGUAAACCCCCUUGAAGACGACGAGGUAGAUAGGGCAGAGGUGGAAGUGUGGCAACACAUGGAGCUGACUGUUACUAAUCGGGUGAGGGCUUGACCUG